GACGAACGCUGGCGGCGUGCCUAACACAUGCAAGUCGAGCGGGGACCUGGGAGCUUGCUUCCGGGUUCUAGCGGCGGACGGGUGAGUAACGCGUGAGCAACCUGCCUCGAACUGGGGGAUAACGCAUCGAAAGAUGUGCUAAUACCGCGUAAGACCACAGUGCCACAUGGCACAGGGGUCAAAGGAGCAAUCCGGUUUGAGAUGGGCUCGCGUCCGAUUAGCUAGUUGGUGAGAUAACAGCCCACCAAGGCGACGAUCGGUAGCCGACCUGAGAGGGUGAUCGGCCACAUUGGAACUGAGACACGGUCCAGACUCCUACGGGAGGCAGCAGUGGGGAAUAUUGGGCAAAUGGGCGAAAGCCUGACCCAGCAAACGCCGCGUGAGGGAAG
rnacentral:rRNA from 1 species